UGUUUCUGCUUCUGCCGACAAUGACCUAUCGGCUUCUUCUCACAAAACACCCGUGUAAAGAAUUGCUGUGAAGCCAUUAACCGUUGAUCCUACCAACCUCGAAUCGCAGUUCUCAUCAACCAGAUCUGGCAAGGUGAUUAAAAAGGAGAAGAUUUAAUCUAACUAUGCAGACUAUCUUGAAAUGUGGUUUUGAUUUAUCUUUUUG
rnacentral:lncRNA from 1 species